rnacentral:rRNA from 1 species
GCUAACGGCUGGCGGCGUGUCUUAGCCAUGCAAGUCGAGCGGACUUAUGGGGUAACUUAUAAGUCAGCGGCGGACGGCGGAGUAACACGUAGCUAACCUACCCUCUGGACGGGGAUAACCUACCGAAAGGUGGGCUAAUACCCGAUGUAGUCAUCCUGUAUAGGGGUGAUGAAAGGUGGGCUUCUGUUUACAAGCUCAUGCUGGAGGAGGGGGCUGCGGCCUAUCAGGUAGUUGGUAGGGUAAUAGCCUACCAAGCCGAUGACGGGUAGCCGGCCUGAGAGGGUGACCGGCCCGAGGGGCACUGAGAUACGGGUCCCACUCCUACGGGAGGCAGCAGGCUAGAAAUUUGGGCAAUGGGGGAAACCCUGACCCAGUGACGCCGCGUGCAGGAAGGAGCCCUUCGGGGUGUAAACUGCUGUCGUGUAGGGAGAAGGGUACUAAGGUGAACAAUCUUAGUACUUGACGGUACUACAGGAGGAAGCCCAGGCUAACCUCGUG